AAUUUUCAUUGAUGGGGCAAAUAGCAUCACGUUUUGUGUUCAAAAACAGGGAAGCUUCCUAAGUCCGAUGGCUGCUGCUGCAGUGCGUUCAUUUGGUGUUGUAUAGCAACAGCAUUUAUUGAUCUGUAUUCCAUUCCAGAGUAGUACCAUACAAAAAUAGUAGAGCUCAUGGCUAUGUGGCCUUUGAGUGAUAUCCUGCUAGUGCAGCUUUUGAUCAUGUUAUCUCCUGCAUGCUUCCUAGAAGCUCAAACUUCUUACUCCACAGCACAAAAUUAUUACCCAUCAUGGACAAACAAUUUGUCCAUUCCAGCGAGAGGCUUUGAUUCCUACCAAAUGAUCUUGAUUAGUGAGUCUGUGUCUUUUGCUUGUGGAUUUUACUCCAAAGACCAGGAAAAUGAUUCCUUUUAUUUAGCAGUAUUAUCACUCAACAAACAUAUGCAGGAGCUAUUCUUUAAUUUCACUCUUCAGCAUGUCAUAUGGUUGGCAAAUGAAAAUAAGCCUGUUGGACGGAACGCAACUCUAAAGUUACUUCCAGAAGGAAAUUUGGUUCUGAGAGAUGCAGAUGGAGCUUUAGUCUGGUCUACCAACACGUCUAACAUGUCUGUUGCAGGUAUAAAGAUGAUGAAACAGGGAUGCUUGUGCUUCAAGACCACAAUAAUAAGACUGUGUGGCAAUCUUUAGUAAUACAGCACAUGUGUCCACUUCAUGGACGAAUAAUGACCCAUAUCAGCCAUGCCUUUUAAUCUAUUUAAAAUAAUCAUGAUGCACGGAGCUGGUUUUUUUGUGGAUUUCUCUCCAAGGACCGGAAUUCUUCUAUUUUGCAUAUGGAAGUCGGAAUAUUCUGGAGAUGAUGAUCCGGAGGCCUUAUGGUUAGCAAACAGAAACAGGCCUGUUGGUGAGAACGCAACUUUACAAUUUUUACCAGAUGGAGAUUUGGUUCUGAGAGAUGCAGAUGGAGCUUUCGUCUGGUCUACCAACACGUCUAACAUGUCUGUUGCGGGUAUGAGGAUGAUGGAAACUGGAACUUGUGCUUCAAGACCACAAUAAUAAGAUUGUGUGGCAAUCUUUUGUAAUACAGCACAUGUGUCCACUUCAUGGACGAAUAAUGAUCCCAAUCAGCCAUGCCUUAUAAUCUAUAUAAAUAAUCAUGAUGCACGGAGCUCCUUUUUCUUGUGGAUUUCACUCCAAGGACCGGAAUUCCUUCUAUUUUGCAAUAUGGAAGAAUCGGAAGUUUCUGGAGAUGAUGAUUCCGGAGGCCUUAUGGUUAGCAAACAGAAACAGGCCUGUUGUGAGAACGCAACUUUACAAUUUUUUACCAGAUGGAGAUUUGGUCUUGAGAGAUGCUGAUGGAACUUUCUGGUCUACUAAACAUCUAGCAUGUCUGUUGCGGGUAUGAGGAUGAUGGAAACUGGAAACCUUGAGCUUUAUGAUGUCAAUAACAAGACUGUUUGGAAUUCAUUUGAUCAUCCUUCUGAUGUACUGCUUCUUGGGAACAAAUUAGUGGUGGGUCAGAAGCUGGUGGCAAGUGUUUCGAAAACUAAUAGAUCUGAAGGUGUCUUCAGCCUCUCUGUGAUCCCACAAGGUUUGUUUGCUUCUUACCAAGCUACUGCGCCACAAAAGUACUUCAAAUUUCAGUUUUGGGGGCAUAGACAGCCUCCAACUAAGUCAUGAUGAAUCCUCUGGUAAUCUUGCUUUACUUAUAAUCAGCUUCACCUGAUGAGCCGAAUACAACUUAGCAAGCACCAUUAAAUACUCAGCGACGGCUUACAUGAAAUUUGAUCCUGAUGGGCAUCUCAGAAUUUAUGAUGGAAACAUGAUUGACGGGGUUGAUCUGUUGACAGAUAUGAUGAGUGCAUGUGAUUACCCAACAGCUUGUGGUAAUUAUGGGCUGUGCUUCAAAGGGCUGUGCUCGUGCCCAGCAGGAUUUGCUCAAGCCAAUACCCCAAAUGAUCAAGGCAACUACAGUUGCUCGCCGAAUAGUCCAACCACAUGUGAAAAUCCAAAAUCCUAUUCUCUUCUUCCCCUGGAAGAUGUCUACUAUUUCAAUUAUGUUGACCCUGAGGCAGCAGUCCUGAAAGGAACAGACAUGAAGAGUUGUAAAGAUGCAUGUUUGAAAAACUGUGCAUGCAACGCUGCUCUAUUUCAGUAUUACGUUAAUGUUUCUCAUGGGAAUUGUUUUUUGCCCUCACCAGUUCUCACACUAAUAGGUGAUGGUAAGGAAAGAAAAAGUUACCAUUCUAAUGCCUUCAUCAAAAUUUCUAAUGAUGGAGAGAAUGGAAGUGCUUUUACAUCUUCUAUCAAUCCUAAAAUAAUAGCAGGAUCAACUAUUGGAGCCAUCCUUGUUAUGAGUUUAAUUGUUGGUCUAUGUAUUAUGGUUUGGAGGAAGAAAAGAGAUCGAGAGGAAGGAAUGGAAGACUUGAAUCAACUAUCAGGAAUGCCCAUGAGAUUCACAUACCAAGAACUAAGAGUGGCAACUUGGGAUUUUGAGAAGAAGCUUGGAGGAGGAGGGUUUGGAUCAGUUUUUGAAGGAAUUCUAGAAAAUGGAGAAAAAAUUGCAGUAAAGCGCCUAGAUGCUUUAGGCCAAGGGCAGAAGGAAUUCUUGGCUGAGGUCAAAAGUAUAGGAAGCAUCCAUCAUGUCAGCCUGGCGAGGCUAAUUGGAUUCUGUGCUGAUAAAUUGCACACGCUUUUAGUCUAUGAGUUCAUGUGCUGUGGGUCUUUGGAUAAGUGGAUUUUCUGCAGGGAACCACUACUACAUCCUCUGGACUUCCAAACUAGAAGAAACAUUAUCAUGGAUGUAGCAAAGGGGCUGGCCUAUCUCCAUGAAGAAUGCAGACAAAGAAUAGUCCACUUAGACAUCAAACCACAAAACAUUUUGUUGGAUGAAAAUCUGCAUGCUAAGAUCUCUGAUUUUGGCUUGUCUAAGUUGAUUGACAGGGAUCAAAGUCAAGUGGUGACCACAAUGAGAGGAACUCCUGGGUACUUGGCUCCUGAAUUAUUCAGCUCAGUCAUCACAGAGAAGGCAGAUGUUUAUAGUUUUGGAAUCGUAGUCAUGGAAGUUGUCUGCGGAAAGAAAAAUCUGGAUAGGUCACAGCCAGCUGAGUGCAUGCAUUUGCUCCCUAUUCUUAUGAAGAGGGCACAGGAGGAUCAAUUGAUUGAUAUGGUUGACAAUAGCAGUGAGGAUAUGCAAUUGCACAGGUUAGAAGCUGCGGAGAUGAUGAGGGUUGCUAUUUGGUGUCUGCAAAGUGAUCACACCAGGAGGCCUAGCAUGUCAACCGUGGUUAAGGUCUUAGAGGGCACCAUGGGUGUUGAAGCAGACCUAGACUAUUGCCUUCAGAAUGCAACAACAAUGGCAGCAAUAAGAAGAGAGGCAGAGCUGGGCGGUACUGCCACAUUGCUGCCAUCACUACUAUCAGGACCGAGGUGAAGAAAGAUCUUUUGCGAUAUAUAUGUGGUGUUUAUGUUUCUCUGAUAGGUGUUUUACCUUCAGUUCUCUUUAUAUCGCUAUUGUAAUGUUAUCUGGGAAAUUGUUCAAUUAGCAUAAAGUGUGACAGGAAAGCAUGAAAAACUGCAAGAAACUGCUGGCUACAAUUAGCUGCUUACUACAAGUAAAAUAACUACUCAGUAAAUUCUAGCUCCAAGUAUAUCACUGCAAUGAUUAUAACUUCUCUGGCAUUUAAAGCCAAGACAUGCCAUCAGUUUUCAGUUAAAGUUUUUGAGGUAAAGAAUUACUUUUAUAGCUAACAAAGAGCCAAAUAUACAUGAUUCCAGUUAACUUGUUACUAUCAACUUUGUGCUGAUUCUUUUCAGAAAAAUCAUAUCGAAGGCAUUUGAUUGAAUUGUGUUGACUUAGCAUGGAAAAUUGAAGCUACCUCCCCAGAAACCUCUUUUCUUUUCUUUUUUUUGUUCUUGAAGCUGCAAUUUUUCUUCGCCAAUCGCUACUCAUUGCUCAGGUAUAAUGAUGUCAAAGUCACUAACAGUCCAUUCAGCAACUUGAUUAGGGGCCUUGAAUAUCUCUGUUCCUAAAUCAAUGGACAUCCACUGCCUCCUAGCCGGAGAAGUCCCAGGAUCCUGCAAAAUAAGUAAUAGCCGCCACAUGUUCAUGUCAAAGAGCUUUGUCCAUUUUAAUAAUUCAUCAUGUCACUUCCUUUCGGCCUCUGUACAAAUUUCCUUCCGUUUCUAGGAUGCAGGAUUAUAUCUAGUGACUUCGAGUUUUGAAAAAACUAGUAAAUUUGAAGCUCUGAAUCUGUGCUAAGGCCAUUUAAUCCAUAAGAGAAAAGUGAAAGACAGAAAAGCAAACCUGGUAGAAGUAAAGUGAUUGCGACAACCUCCCAACAUCAAGUUCCCAAGUUCUCGGGUCACCAAUCCAACCCUCACCUUGCUUGGUAGGAUAUCCAUACUCAACCCAAACUGGAUGUGGCAAAAUCUGUAGUAUCUCCUGAGGCUGAGGAUUGCUAUAGGGAUCGCACAAACUAUAAGGAACUUCAAGAUGCUCUGCGUUCCCCGGAGAACAGUACAAGUGAUAGGCGGCAUAAGGGAAGCGAGCAGUGUCAUUGCGAUGGAUACGUGUUCCAUCGGGAAAUGUAUGGUAAGGAGGGCACACAUUGAGGUUGGUUGGAUGGCACCAUGAACUUAUGUUUGGAUUUAUGAUCAUUUCGCUGUAUCGAGUGACAUCUGAAGUAACAUUUCCAUCACAAGGUUUCCCAUCGUUCUUCCAACAGCUUCCCAUGUCCAUCAGGUAGAACUGGCUGCUAGGACCCCCACCAUUGAUUACAUUUAAAGUGAACCUUACUUUGAAGUUUGGUGAUUCUGGGAUCUGCAUAUAGUGCACGUCAACUCCAUCACUCACAAGUUUGUUUGGCUUGUAAGUAAAACCUGCAUUAGUGCAUGAUACAGACUAUUUUUUUCAACCCCUAGAUGUCACUCGUGUAAACCCACCUCCCCUGUGAAAUGUUUGCAGGAUUUGACCUACAUUUCAAUCUAUUUCUGUGCAUCAUAAUAUUUUAUCUACAUCGGAGGCUUGGCAGAAACAAAGAAAAGGUUUGGCACUCCCUUUGUUUGUAUUUAAACUGUUGAGGAAUUUGAAUUAUGUAUAUUAAUUAGAUCAAAGAAUGAAAAGGAGCACUCACAAUUUUAUAUUUUUAUUUGUGUCUUUAUCUUUAUAUUUUUCUCAUAUAUAUUGAAAAAACUCUUCAAAACUCAAAGAAAAAAAUUGAAAAUAAUAUAAUACCCUAUGUAUUUGUGUUGCAUAUAGAUUUCAUUUGAAGAAAGAACUUCUUUAGAUAGUUCUCACAUGAUAGGAGAAGUAUUUUUAAUUUUUCAAUAUUAAAUAUAAGUACUAGUAUAUCCUUAAUAAUUUGCUCGCAUAUACUUUCACAUAUAAUACAAAUGAAUUCUUUAAAAUAAAACAAAUAUUAAAAACUAUAAUGAUGAUAUUAUUAUGUUAAAACUUAAAGGAGCCUCAAAUACAAUUUUUGUUCAUAUCAUACAUUUUAUGUAUUUGUAUUAGAUAUAAAUUUUAUUUUAAUUUUUUUUUUUUAGAUAAAAGAACUCACAAAUUAUAAUAUGAUUGUAACUUUGGUAGGAAAAGAUAUUUUGACUUUGUAAUGUUUAAAUAUAAAUAUUAAUAUGAGAUCCAAUGUUUUAUUAAGAGUUUUUUUUUUUUAGAAACUUUGGGAUGAUAAAGGGUGUUAAUAGGCUGGGUUUUGAUAUUACUCAUAAAUAAAUUCAAAUACAAACUAUUAUUCAAACCCAACCCUUUACCUAGAAGAUAUAAAUUUUAGAUACCCAACUUAACUCGAUUAUGUUUUAAUUGUCCAUUCAAGUACCUGUUAUUCGACUAGUACAAUAAAAUACAAAUAUAAAAGAAACCAAUGAAUUUAUUUAACGAAUUAGCUAAAAGAGUAUCCAAUCAAAACUCCAAAGUAAAUGUACUAAUAAAGCUAACAAAAUCUGGACUAAGAUCAUAAUAAAUCCAAAUUCCAAGAUAAAUUUGAUUAAAAUACUAAUCAAUUAUUGGAUAAAAAAGAAAAAAAAAAGUAGUUUUAAAGUACUUAUACAAAGGAAUAAACUAAAAUAAAAUGAGGGCUAGGAACAAUAAAAUAUAUAUAUAUAUAUAUAUAUAUAUAUAUAUAUAUAUAUAUAGCAGAAGACACAUUUCACCAUGGAUUUCAACAAUGAAUUUAAUAUUUUGACCAUGAUUCAAAUAACAAAUGACCUUGCUUAGGAGAUUAUUAGGGUCUUUUAAAUAGUAAAACUACUAAAUUGCCCUUAAAGACAAGAUUAUAUCUAUUUAGUUUAGGGGUAUUAUCAGUUUUUUAUAUUUGAGUGCAUGUUAAAAUUACUUAAAUGCCCUUUAAGUCAACAAAAUAAAAGCUUUUGGUGAAGGGGUAUUUAUGUGUUUUUAAGUUUGUUUUUAUUAUUUUUUAUCAAGGGAAUUAUUUUAUUUUACCAUAAUUAAAUAAUAUUAAAUUUUAAAAAGUUGUUGGUGCUUGAGAGGCGCCAACGCACUUCGGGCGGUGCGUGUUGCGCCUCCUAGUGGUGGAACUUGUCUUUCCACCUUGUUGUUUGAUGUGUCAUCAUGUUAUCUUUCUUCUAGUAUGACGCGUGUCAUCGAUAGUUGAGCGGUUUGUCGAUGAUGAGUUUUUCUUUUUUCUUCUCCUUCCUUUCUCGCUCUUCCUCCAAACAUUGCUUAUUGGUCUUCUUUGUUUUUUAUAUUUAUACUUCGGUCUUUUUUUUUUUUAUUUCUUAUGUUUUUCCUUGGCUCUUUAAUAAGAGUGUAUUUUCUUUCAAUUUAUUCCUUCAUUUCUUAUUUGUAACAUAUUAUGUUUUUCAAUUUGAUCAUUAUUCUUUUGAUUUUUUAUUUUUUUCACUAGUUCCUUUUGUAAAAGUUACAUUUUUUUUUCAAUUUCACCCUUCAAUCCAAGUUUAUUUUGUGUUACUGUUUUCAAUUUGAUCAUUAUUUAUUAUUAUUUUUCCUUUUUGUUGGAGUUAUUUUUCUUUUUAAUUUAACCCUCCAAUCUAAAAUUUGUGUCUUUUUUCUUUUUGUAAAAGUUUAUUUCUUUUCGAUUUAGUCCUUCAAUUUUAAUUUGUCAUGUGUAUAUAUUUUUUACUGGUCCUUAUUUUUUUGAUUUCUGAUUUUUUUAUUAACCCUUUUAUUAAAAUUUUAUUAUUUUUCAUUCCCACCCUUCAAUCCAAGUUCACAAUGUGUUAUUUUUUUCAAUUUUGUCCUUAUUACUUUUUUUUUUGUUUGAGUUAUUUUUCUUUUUAAUUUAAUACUCCAGUCGAGAAAUUCUAGUUGCCCUCUCAUUUAUUGUUUCUCUCAAUUUUCACCCUUAUUGUUUUAAUUAUUAUUAUUUUUUAUUUUAGAUCAUUUUAUUUAAUUACUUUUUUUCCUUGUUACUUUCUUUAACGUUUGUUGACUCAAUCCAUUUUUUUUUUGUCUCUUUUUAUCUACUUUUUUGCUUCCAUAGAUUUGUUUUCCAAGGUAUUGUGAUCAUUUUUGUUUCAAAAUUGUUUGAUUAAUAUCAUAGCCUUUUCUUUUAUCAUCUAAUUAAAAUAAAACAAACAUAUUAAACCCAUUCAGUGUUAUAACUUGAGUCAAUGAUUUCUUUUAUUUAUUUGAAAUGCACUUGCAGCACCGAAACAUCUUUUUUUUAUGAAAAAAUAUAGACUCGUAGCAUAACGUGUGCCCGUGUCUAGUCUAGAGCUAAUAGCCAAAGAAUUUAAGUCGAUAAUUGUUUCCACUACUUUCAUUAUCUUUAUAUAUAGAUAAUGCCAUGGAUGGAAUUUUUCCAAACUUUAAGAACAUAAAAAAAUUUCAAGUCAAGUUUCAUGUAGGGUAAAGCAAUAUUCAUUACUAAUCCUAAACCUAACUUUGUCUUUACUAUCCAAACCCGAACCCAAACUUGUUGAGUAUGGAUACAAAUGGAAAGAAUCAAACAUGGGUGCAUGAUGGCUUUCAUUAUUGACAAAAUAUAGAGGCAGGUGGCUGCCAUUAUUGAUUGAACAUGAAGAAGCUUGUUCCAUGUUCUUAGAGAGGGUUUAUAAGAACAAAAUAUGCACUAGAUUGAGCAAAAACAAUAAAGGUAGAUGCAUUAAGAGCAUCAACAAGUAAACUUAGAAAGAUAAAUAGAUGUGAAGAAAUUAUAGACACAUGUUGGGAGUUGAGUGAUAGUAUUUCUCCUUAAUUAUUGUAAUUUAUAUUCUCUCUAUAUAAUAAAAUGAGUUGUUUAAGGGAUGUAGGCAAUUGUAAAACUAUAUAAAAAUAUUGCAUUUAAUGUAUAGGAAUCAAUUUCUUGAUCUUAACAACUAGUAUCAAAGCUUUGAAAAAAAAACAUAAGGCUUUUUUUUUUUUUUUGCUUAGAAAUAAAAGAGGUCAAAAAUAUAUAUUGAACAUACCAUUGUAACGAGGAGGCCAAUAUGAACUUAAUGGUGAAAACAAAGCUUAAAAUAGAUGUUGAACAAUGAUACAUGCUUUAAUAUGUGUCAGCAAGGGAGAAUGCUGUGAAACUCUCCUUAAAUGUCAUCUUCACUUGAACAACAAUCAACAUGACUUGAACCUAAUAACCUUCUUGAAUGAUGCAACCUAAUUCCACACAUCAAUAACAAUUUAUCGUGAUGUCAACAUGACAUCAAUACCAUAUUAAUAGGAGGCCCACAUACCCCAUCAGUAGUUUAGGGUCAACACAUAGCCAAACCAGUUUAGUAGAGCUAAAGUUAAGCCGAGCUAAGUCACUAAAAUGAGAGCAGUGAUUCAACGAUAAAAAGGUCUUAGUUAAAAUUAUUGUUGUUGGAUUAACUUUAAGAGCAAAUACUCACUUAAAGUUGAUCAUACCUUUUUUCAAUGGGAAAAGAAUUAGAUCUUAAAUGCUCAAAGCUAAAAUUCUCAAACGAAUCUCAUUCUUUUCAUCAUGAAAUCUCUUCUUAAAUAUAGGCUUUGAUGUAUUCUAGAACCAACCUUGAUUGAAACCCCCACUUAGUCAUCUUUUCUGCAACCAUUUUUUACUUAAUUUUAGUCAACCAAAUAUAAUUUGAUAGAGUAUAGUCUAUUGGUUUAUAGAAAUACUCCAAGUUUAAUUUUGAACAAUCCAAGAGAGAAUCGUAUUCAUCAAGGGUGAGAAUGAUAUCUAUAAUGUCAAAGGUGAAACACUUGUAUUUUGGAUCCCAAAACCCUAUCAUAGCUUAGAAAUAUAAGUGUUGCACUCUAAUCUUAAGCAACGGAGUUAUAUCUCCAUAUUGAUUUUAGAAUGCAAUUUGAUCUUGUAAGGACAACAUCUCACAAUAAUCCAAUAAUUGGCUAGCAUUAGGCAUUAUUUUUUUCAGCUUCACUCACUCUAGUAGUUUGGACUCAAGUCUUAUUGGUAAGCAACCCCUUUAUCACAUUGACCUUUUUCUAACCCAGUACUCGUGUCCUUAAUGGUAAUCAUAUUAUGUCCCUUAAUUUCUCUUUCUUUUUUUUUUAUUAAACAUUAGUGGAGAUCUAAUAAAUUACAAUUCAAAAGCUAGAUAAACUAUUAAAUAAAAAGCAAAUGAUUUAGGCAAAAGUGGAAUGUAUGCUAGGCUUUUAGACAAACAGACUUUUGUAAGAGUGAUGCAGUUUUAAUGAUAUUGUAAUACUCAAAGUAUAAAGACAAGAGCAAAUUAAGGCUUCCUCUAUGGUUAAAAUGGAAAGCUAGUUAAACUCUUGGACGAAUAGCUAAUGACUAAUAGAGUAGUAACAUAUGAUUGCUAGGUUAGAGUAAAUGGUAAGCUCACACUCUUGGAUGAGUAAUAAUCUCUUAAUCACGUUGUAAUACUCAGACAAUGACUAUCACAUUUAAGACCAUGGAUAAAAUUUGUAGAGGGAAAAUUAUGAUUGAAUGGGUCAAACUCUUGUGAAUGAUACAUUCUAUCAAGUUGCUAAGGAAGAUAAAGCCUAAAAAGCCAAUUGAGCUCAUAUAAAAGAAAAUAGCAUGAUGAUAUUAGUUGAAAGAUAGAUAUUUUUGGAUGAUUUUGAUAUUUAUAUUAAAAAUUUUAAAAAUAUUAUUUUAAUAUAUUUUUAAUUAAAAAUCACUUUUAGUUAUAAUACCAAACAUCUAGUACUGUUGUUGAGGGCUAUCCCUUGCUAUGAUGGUGCAUAACCCAGGCUAUUAUGUCUUAUUUGUUUUUGUGUUUUAGAAGCGUUAUUGAAAAAAAUAGAAUUUUUUUUGCUUCAAAUUAAUAUUUUUUUUGAUGUUUUCAGAUCAUUUUAAUAUGAUGAUGUCAAAAAUUAUUAUUUUUUAUUUUAAUGUAUUUCCAAUCAAAAAACACUUUAAAAAACAACUAAUACAAUAUUUGCAAACAUUUCCUAAACAGGAAAAUAAAUGAUUGUUCUCUUGCAAAAAUUCAAAAGGAAAAGCUAGCCUUCCAAAUAGUCGUGCUCAAAUCUGGUUUCAUUGGUUGGAAUGCGGAAACUAGUUGAUAAAAAUAGUAUCAGGGUCAUUAUCCAACGACAGGUGGCCGUGACCAAGCAUGGGUACAAUUAAUCAAGAAACUGAGCAAGGACCCAAUGCCGACGACUCUGGGAACGAAAGUAGUUAUCACCGGUCAAUCCUUGUAUUUUUGGGUCAAUAAUGGCUGCAAGCCGUAUUGCUUGACGAGGACUAUUUAAGUAUUAUUCUCGACCUCUUAUUUAUUUAUUUUGGAUUUUUUCUGCUGGUGGGUCUAUAAUGUUUUCUUAUAACUGAAAUCUGUAAACAGAAACAUUUUAUUUAUUUUCCGCGUCAAGAAAGUUAAGUAACACAAUCACCCACUCCACUAGGUCUCGCUCCUUCUGCUGUUAAUCCAAUUCCAAAUAUUUAUGGAGAAAAAAAAUAUUAAUCUUUAUUUACAGUGAUGGAGCCACGUAAGAGUAAAAAAAGGCAAUUACCCUUUUAAUUUUUUUUAAAAUAUUUGACCUAUACUGACCCGUCAAGGAUAAGAAAAAGAUGAAAAAUCUAAAACAUUUUUAUUGCACAUAUUUAAAUGCAAUUUCUUUGGAAUUAGAGAAAUCUACACGGAAUACAUUAAAAUAUUAAUAUAAUAAUAUGGUGAGGGGUUGAUACAUAGUUAUUAUUGUUGACUUGUGUCUUAAUAUAAUAAAUAAUAUAUAUAAUAUAUAUGCAACACCCCAGCUCAUUUCUCAUUUCCCCAAACUUUUUUUUUUUUUCGCUUACUAUUCAAGAGCUUUUUUACUCUUUUUUAGUUGCUCUCUUCCUUAUACAAAUUUUUUUUUUCAAGUCAGUUUGGCAACUUUAGGUAACAAAUUUUCAUUUUUUUUAUUUGUUUUAUUAUUUAAUUUUAGUUUUAUUUUUUUAUAAUUAGUUAUUAAAAAUGUUAGGGUUUAUAAUAAUUUAAAGGUUUUGAUAUAUAUAAUAUUUUGAAUCAAUUAAAGAUAAAUGGUAGUGAAUUAGACUGCAAGAUUUUGAACAAUAGGUAUUUAUUUGAUUGUUUUGAAUUAAUUAAAGGUUAUAUCAGUUCUAAUUGAAUUGAUUAUGAUAUGGAACUAAACUUUUUCACGAGAUAAACAAGCAAACAUUCAAAUUGUUGUCAACAAGUAAAGAUUGAUAUUUACAAAAUUAAAAUUGUUUUAGCUUGAGAUUGGUCAUUUUUACGAUGUUAAUUUCCUUUUUAUUAUUGAAUAAUUCAUAUUUUAUUUGUUUUUUUUCUCUUUUUUUUUUCAUCAAACAAUUUGUGUUUUGCUGGAGAAAAAUUAACGCGUGCGUACAAGCUUGAUUUUAAUCAGUGCAUGUUGGGUUUUUUUUUAAAUAAAAGAAUUUUUUUUUUUUUUAAAAUGAUUUGUCAUGAUAAAUUUAGACCAUCAAUCCUGAUCCAUAUUCAUGCAUUAUAUAUAGCAUGCUACAUAGUAAUGGGGUGUGAAAUGGAUUUUGAUGAAUUAAUGUGUAUUUUACUAUGAAUUUUAUAUGAAAAAUUUACAAUUAUUAUGUAAGUCAACUGAAUUUUGUUAUUAUAAAAACCCAAAGAAAACAAUUAUAAUGUAAGUUUUCUUAUUUUAAAAGUAUUUUUAAAUUAAUUUUACUUUAUAUGAGUUAGUAUAUUUGUUUCGAAUUAAUUUCUAAUGCAUGUCUAUAUAAUAUAAUAUUUGUUAAUAAUUUGCCCCCUCAUUUAUAAAACUCUGGCUCCGCCACUGUUUAUUUACAACAUUGGUUAAUUACAAUUAGUACAAUGAUAUCAAUUUCUUCUCUUAUACUAAAAUAAUGAUACCAAUUCUAGAUAUUAUAUGUGAAUAAUGUUAGGGUAUGUAUGAAAAAUACUAAAAAAAAAGAUAGGUUAAUUUGGUCAUCCUAUAAAAUUAUAUAUGGAGUGAGAUUAAAACUUAAGGAAUGGGAAUAGCACUGCACAAAAUAUCAAUGAUAUUUAUUAUUUAUAGUAUAUGGUCAAUGAAGUGUCAUGAUUUAUCGAGUGAUUUCCAAUGAAAUUUGGAGCACAUACCAGCUUAAUUCUAAAUUUGCUAGAAGAAUUAUUUGAUUUUUGAACAAAUUCAUAGGCAGUUAUGCACAAUCUACUCUUUUUUUCUUAAAAAAAAAUUUGUAUAAAGUGAUAAAAUGUGUUUCACUGUAUGAAUUUCAUUCAUAACUUUUGUAUUCAGUAUAUUCAAGUGAGUUAUUCAUCAAUACACCUGCCUUUAUAUAGCAGUAGGUAGUAUAAAGCUUUCCUUGACUUCUACGGAAAGAACCUAUAAUUGUGGUCUGUUAUAACAAAUUCUAACUGAUAUAAUAAUAUUCUGCCUAAGUAAUAGUAAUGUAAAACUAACAUAAUGUUAACACCCCUUCUCAAAUUGGUGCAUAGAUAUCAUUCAUGCCCAAUUUGUCAAGACUGGUAUGAAAAACUUGACUGGAUACUGCUUUUGUCAGCACAUCUGCAAGCUGAUCUUGAGAUCGAAUAUGUGGAACUUCGAUAAUCUUUGCCUCCAAUUUUUCUUUGAUUAAAAUGUCUAUCAACUUCAACAUGUUUAGUUCUAUCAUGUUGGACAGGAUUAUGAGCAAUGUCGCAUGCCGCCUUACUAUCACAAAACAAUCUCAUAGGACUUAUCUGCUCAACCUGCAAUUCCUGCAUCAAAUUCUUUAUCCAUAAUAAUUCACAUAUCGCUUUGGCCAUUCCCCUGUAUUCAGCUUCGGCUGAGGAUCUGGCCACAACUUCUUGUUUCUUACUUCGCCAAGUGACCAAGUUGCCACCCACAAAUGUAAAAUAUCCUGAUGUAGAUCUUCGAUCCUGUAUUGACCCUGCCCAAUCAGCAUCGGUAUAUCCAUCAAUCUUCAGAUUGUCCCCCUUUUUAAAUAGAAUUCCUUUACCUGGAGAUGAUUUCAGGUAGCGCAGGAUACGGGUGACAACUUUCAUAUGUUCUUCACUAGGGGAGUGCAUAAACUGACUAAUUACACUUAAAGCAUAAGCUAAAUCAGGUCUAGUAUGUGCAAGAUACAUUAAUCUUCCCACUAGUCUUUGAUAACGUUCUUUAUUAGUGGGAAUUUGUUGUGGAUGUAUGCUCAGUUUCAGGUUUUCUUCUAUAGGAGUACUGACAGGACUACAGGCUGUCAUACCUGUUUCUUUUAACAAAUCUAGAGCAUAUUUUCGUUGAGACAAGAAAAUACCUUCUUUCGAUCUUGAUACUUCAAUACCAAGAAAGUAUUUUAAGUGACCUAGAGAUUUCAUUUCAAAUUCCUGGGCAAGGAGAUUCUGUAAUGUUUUCUGCUCUUCAGGAUUAUUUCCAGUUACUAUCAUAUCAUCAACGUAUACAAUUAGAGCUGCGAUUUCUCCUUCUUUUUUUGUCUUCAAGAAUAACGUAUGGUCAGAGUUGCUUUGCUUGUAUCCGAUGGAUUUCAUGAAAGUAGUGAACCUCCCAAACCAAGCUCUUGGAGAUUGCUUUAACCCGUAUAGGGAUUUCUUUAAUCUACAUACUUUUGUGCUUCCUUUGAUUUGCAUAAUACAUCCAGGAGGUAAUUUCAUAUAUACUUCUUCUUGGAGAUCCCCAUGCAAGAAGGCGUUUUUUACAUCAAGUUGAUAUAAGGGCCAAUCAAGGUUCACGGCCAGAGAUAAUAGGAUACGAACAGUGUUUAUUUUAGCCACCGGUGCAAAUGUUUCCAUAUAAUCAAUGCCAUAAGUUUGAGUGUACCCUUUGGCAACGAGCCUUGCUUUAAACCUUUCAAUGAUGCCAUUUGCUUUAUGUUUAAUGGUAAACACCCACCGACAUCCAACCGGUACCUUUCCUGCAGGGAGGUCAACCACUUCCCAUGUGGAAUUUUUUUGAAGGGAUCUCAUUUCUUCGUUCAUGGCUUCUUUCCAUCUUGAAUCUGUUAUGGCUUCCUGCACACUGUUAGGAAUAGAUACAGCAGAUAUUUGAUUUACGAAAGUUUCAUUAUCCUUUGAUAAUCUGUGGUAGGACACAAAAUUACUCAUAGGAUAAUGAGGUUUAGAGGUGAGAAGAGGUUCAUACGCAGUUUUAGGUUUUCCUCUCGUGGUUCUGUGGGGUAGAAUUUUGAGUUGAGUUUCAGAACUUACUUGAGGUUUAUUUAUGGAUUCAGACUCAGGAGUCAUCUGAAGUGGUACCUGAGUUUCUUGUUGCAGUACCUCUAUUUGGUUUUCUUCAAUGGUUUGUUGUGGUUCUGCUUCUAUAUUUUCUUCAUCAUUUCCAUACGAGGAUGUAUUACUAGAAUUUUUAUCUUUUGUAAUAUAUAGGUCAUCAUAGCAUGUCUGCCAGUUACCUUUGUCGUGCUCCUGUUUUGAAGUUUCAACAUCAGAGUAAUACAUUCUGUUUUCAUGGAAUACAACGUCCAGCGUGAUGUAGAGUUUCUGAGUUGGUGGAUGAUAGCAGCGAUAGCCUUUUUGAUGCUGGGCAUAGCCAACAAAUAUGCACUUGAGUGCUCGUGGUUCCAGCUUAUUCCUUAAUGGUUUGUGAAUAUGAACAAAUGCUGUACAACCAAAGACUCUUAGUUGUAAAUGUGACACAGCAGGAGAUUUUAUUUUCUUCUGAAGAACACUCAAUGGGGUCUGAAAUCCUAAUGUGCUUGAGGGUAUUCUGUUGAUAAUAUAUGUUGCUGUUGUGAUAGCUUCACCCCAAUAUUUAGUUGACAUAUGAGCUUCAAAUAAAGAAGCUCGAACAACUUCAAGAAGAUGCCGGUUCUUACGUUCUGCAACCCCGUUUUGCUGAGGGGUGUAAGGGCAAGUGGUUUGGUGAACAAUUCCAUGAUUAAUUAGAUAUUGUUUCAACUCCUGAUUGAUGAAUUCUCCACCAUUGUCACUACGAAGAACCUGUAUUGCAGAGCUAUAUUGUGUGGCUACCAUGUUAUGAAAUUGUUUGAAUAAUGAACUUACUUCACUUUUGCAUUUCAUUAGGCAAAUCCAUGUCAUACGUGUGUGAUCAUCAAUAAAGGAAAUAAACCAUCGUUUACCAUUAAGGAGCAAGUGUUUGCUGGACCCCAUACGUCUGAAUGCACAACCAUAAAAGGUGCUGGACUUUUAUGCAUGCUGUUUUGAAAUGAAACCCGAUGGCUUUUAGCCAAUUCACAGACAUCACAUUUAAAUUCUGUGUCAGGUAACUGAGCAAAGAGUUUCGGCAUUAAUUUUUUCAAAUAUCCAAAGGAUGAGUGACCUAAACGUUUAUGCCAUAACCAAAUUCAGAGUUUGUAGUAGAUUCAAAGUUUGCAGCGGAUUUAUUCAUGGAGAAUGCUUGAGCCAUUUGCUGACAACUUGCUGGUGUUAAAUCCAGAUAAUAGAGCUUUCCUCUUCUAGUACCAUAACCAAUUGUCUUCCGAGUUCGAAUAUCCUUGAAAACACAAAGGUUAGGCCAAAAAUAACAAUGCAUUGCAAAGCAAGAGUUAUUUGAGCAACUGAAAGUAAAUUAUAAUUAAGGGUUGGAACAACUAAUACGGAAUCAAGAUUUAUAUUUUCAGUAAGGUGACAGAACCUUCCCAUUAACAGAUGAUGAGGUACCAUUUGCUGAGGAUAUAACAUAUUGUUUUGAUGGUUUAACGGAUUGAAGCCACAGCUUGUCAAACGUCAUAUGGUCAGUAGCUCCAGAGUCAAUUAUCCAUUCAUUUCUACUGUUAAGAGUGCAAGUAUGAAAAACUUUACCAGUUUCUUCGUUUGUGACUGAUGAAGGGUGUUCUGCCAUAGAUUCUGUUUGAGCCGUGGGGCUGGUCAUUGUUGAAGGAUGAUCUGCCACUCGAUGAUCUGCCACUGCAACUAAAGCAUGUGUGUUUGGUUUUGAUUUUCGUUUACGAGGAGCUUUAGCAGGAUCCCACCAUUCUGGAUACCCAAUCAGCUCAUAACAUCUCAGUUUUGUAUGUCCAGUCUCACCACAAUGUGUGCAGAUAUAUUCUGAUUUUCCUUUUCAAUAGCUGCUAUUCUGGGUUUCUGAUGUUCGGUUUUGUUCAAUGGUAGGGCCAUGUGAUCUGUAUAUUCUAGGCUUACCUCGUCGUGCCAUCAUUGCAGAUGAUUCAGCAUGACCAACUCCAGUUUCAUUCAUCAAUGUAGCUCUGCGAACAGCAUCACGGCGUACAUAAGAAUAGGCUUCUUCAAGAUCCAAUAUCGGAUCUUUUCUAAGAAUUUCCCCUUGAAUUUGUUCAAAUUCUGCAUCCAAUCCAUUCAAGAAAAUAUGCACCCGUAACCUUUCAACAGAUUUUCUGUAAGUAAUAACAUCAUCCGGGUCUUUCAUUUCAGUUUUGUCGCGAUGAUCAAGUUCUUGAAAGAUUUCUAUAAGAUCACCAAAAUAUGUUGAUAAUGGUCGACUUAUCUGUUUCGUGGAGAAGGCUUUCUGGUUAAGUGAGAAGAGCUGCGUUUCAUCUGAUCCAUCGUAGAAGGCUUUAGACAAGGCUUUCCAAAUUUCUCUUGCAGUAUGUAGUCUGAUGUAUCUUUUCAUGAUUUCUGGUGACAUAGAUGUUAGCAGCCAUCCUUUAACCUUUUGAUUCUCUGCGUACCAUCUUGAAUAAGAAGCAUCAGUAUCUUGUGGUGGUUGUGUUUUGCCCAUAAUAUAUUCAAGCUUUUCUCUUCCUGCAAUCUGCAUUUCUAUGAUCUGAGACCAUACAUCGUAAUUAGUUUCAGUGAGGAUAACACUGGUUGUGAAUCCAGAGUUUUCAGUUUGUACAUGGAUAAUGGGUGUUGAUUCUGGUGUUUUAUCAUUCAUCAUGGAAGGGAAAAACAAACAAGAAUGAUAGGAAACAGAAAGUAUUCAAUAUGAUACGAAAGAUUGCAGACAGUUUUCUUUCAAGAAGAUGAUCUCAGGAUGCAAGAAAGGUUGUAAGACAAAAGGAUUGCAGACAGUUUUGAUUUCAAUAUGAUACGAGGUUUCAAGAUCAGACUGCAGAAAGUAUUCAAGAACAGAUUGGAAGUUUAGAAUACUCAGGGAGAGGUUUCAAGGUCAGACUGCAGAAAGUAUUCAAGAACAGAUUGCAAGUUUUAGAAUAUUCAAGGAGAGGUUUCAAGAUCAAACUGCAAAAAGUAUUCAAGAACAGAUUGUAAGUUUAGAAUGUAGAAGAGAAGAUCUUUAAGUCGUUCUUUGCAGGAAGUAUUUAAGAAUGUAUGGAUGAAACAGAGUAGAAAACUGAGAAAGAUAUGAUACAGGAAAAGAAAGUUUAAUCAAGAAGAAGAUUUCAAGGGGAAAAAUAUAUCAGUAGUGCUUUUCCGGGCUCUAAUACCAUGAUAAAAUGUGUUUCACUGUAUGAAUUUCAUUCAUAACUUUUGUAUUCAGUAUAUUCAAGUGAGUUAUUCAUCAAUACACCUGCCUUUAUAUAGCAGUAGGUAGUAUAAAGCUUUCCUUGACUUCUACGGAAAGAACCUAUAAUUGUGGUCUGUUAUAACAAAUUCUAACUGAUAUAAUAAUAUUCUGCCUAAGUAAUAGUAAUGUAAAACUAACAUAAUGUUAACAUAAAGAACAACUAAAUAUUUAUUAAAAUUAAGAAAUCAACACAUUAAAUAAAGUUGUAUUGUUCUCUACAACAAAUUGUGGAGACCCCAAAAGAAAAGUGAGAGCGAGAUGUGCUUCCGGGACAUGUUAAAAUUAAGAAAUUAACACGUUAAAAAAACUUUCAAUAUGCCUUGUAUGUUUGAUAUGUAAAUUGACAUAUUUAAUAUCAAUUCAAUCUUGAGUAUGAACCUAUUCUCCAAUGUCACUUUCAUUUGCUCCAAAUGGGAAGAUAAUGCUUGGAUUUUUAUUUUUUUGUCUCGCGUAAAAUUACUUGAAGUUAAAAGAAAAGUCAUGAUGGGUAUUGCGAGGAGAUCGUACAACAAGAAUCGUAAACUCUUGAGGGUAAACAUGUCCGCUAUCCAUGGCUGGUAAUAAGGACGGGGAAAUUAAAGAAUUUUCAUUGAUGGGGCAAAUAGCAUCACGUUUUGUGUUCAAAAACAGGAAAGCUUCCUAAGUCCUAUGGCUGCCGCUGCCCUGCGUUCAUUUGGUGUUGUAUAGCAACAGCAUUUAUUGAUCUGUAUUAGAUUCCAGAGUAAUACCAAACAAAAAUAGCAGAGCUCAUGGCUAUAUGGCCUUUGAGUGAUAUCCUGCUAGUGCAGCUUUUGAUCAUGUUAUCUCCUGCAUACCUCCUAGAAGCUCAAACUUAUUACUCCAGAGCACCAAAAUACACAUCAUGGACAAACAAUUUGUCCAUUCCAGCGAGAGGCUUUGAUUCCUACCAAAUGAUCUUGUUGAGUGAGUCUGGGUCUUUUGCUUGUGGAUUUCACUCCAAAGACCAGGAAAAUGAUUCCUUUUAUUUUGCAGUAUUAUCACUCCAUGUAACAUAUUAUGCAGAUGAUAGUUAUUCUUUCACUCUUCAGAAUGUCAUAUGGUUGGCAAAUGAAAAUAAGCCUGUUGGACGGAACGCAACUCUAAAGUUACUUCCAGAAGGAAAUUUGGUUCUGAGAGAUGCAGAUGGAGCUUUAGUCUGGUCUACCAACACGUCUAACAUGUCUGUUGCAGGUAUAAAGAUGAUGAAAACAGGAAUGCUUGUGCUUCAAGACCACAAUAAUAAGACUGUGUGGCAAUCUUUUAGUAAUACAGCACAUGUGUCCACUUCAUGGACGAAUAAUGAUCCCAUAUCAGCCAUGCCUUAUAAUCUAUAUAAAAUAAUCAUGAUGCACGGAGCUGGUUUUUCUUGUGGAUUUCACUCCAAGGACCGGAAUUCCUUCUAUUUUGCAAUAUGGAAGCUAUCGGAAGUUUCUGGAGAUGAUGAUCCGGAGGCCUUAUGGUUAGCGAACAGAAACAGGCCUGUUGGUGAGAACGCAACUUUACAAUUUUUACCAGAUGGAGAUUUGGUCUUGAGAGAUGCCGAUGGAACUUUCGUUUGGUCUUCUAACACAUCUAGCAUGUCUGUUGCGGGUAUGAGGAUGAUGGAAACUGGAAACCUUGAGCUUUAUGAUGUCAAUAACAAGACUGUUUGGAAUUCAUUUGAUCAUCCUUCUGAUGUACUGCUUCUUGGGAACAAAUUAGUGGCAGGACAGAAGCUGGUGGCAAGUGUUUCGAAAACUAAUAGAUCUGAAGGUGUCUUCAGCCUCUCUGUGAUCCUACAAGGUUUGUUUGCUUCUUACCAAGCUACUGCGCCACAAAAGUACUUCAAAUUCUCAGUUUUGGGGGGCAUAGACAGCCUCCAACUAAGUCAUGAUGAAUCCUCUGGUAAUCUUGCUUUACUUAUAAUGUCAGCUUCACCUGAUGAGCCGAAUACAAUGCUUACAAGCACCAUUAAAUACUCAGCGACGGCUUACAUGAAAUUUGAUCCUGAUGGGCAUCUCAGAAUUUAUGAUGGCAACAUGAUCGACGGGGUUGAUCUGUUGACAGAUAUGAGUGCAUGUGAUUACCCAACAGCUUGUGGUAAUUAUGGGAUGUGCUUAAAUGGACAGUGCUCGUGCCCAGCAGGAUUUGCUCGAGCCAAUACCCCAAAUGAUCAAGGCAACUACAAUUGCUGGCAGAUGAGUCCAACCACAUGUGAAAAUCCAAAAUCCCAUUCUCUUCUUCCCCUGGAAGAUGUCUACUAUUUCAAUUAUGUUGACCCUGAGGCAGCGGUCCUGAAAGGAACAGACAUGAAGAGUUGUAAAGAUGCAUGUUUGAAAAACUGUUCAUGCAACGCUGCUCUAUUUCAGUAUUACUUUAAUGAUUCUCAUGGGAAUUGUUUUUUGCCCUCACCAGUUCUUACACUAACGGGUGAUGGUAAGGAAAGAAACAGUUACCAUUCUAAUGCCUUCAUCAAAACUUCUAAUGAUGGAGAGAAUGGAAGUGCUUUUACAUCUUCUAUCAAUCCUACAUCUUCUAUCAAUCCUAAAAUAAUAGCAGGAUCAACUAUUGGAGCCAUCCUUGUUAUGAGUUUAAUUGGUGGUCUAUGUAUUAUGGUUUGGAGGAAGAAAAGAGAUCGAGAGGAAGGAAUGGAAGACUUGAAUCAACUAUCAGGAAUGCCCAUGAGAUUCACAUACCAAGAACUAAGAGUGGCAACUUGGGAUUUUGAGAAGAAGCUUGGAGGAGGAGGGUUUGGAUCAGUUUUUGAAGGAAUUCUAGAAAAUGGAGAAAAAAUUGCAGUAAAGCGCCUAGAUGCUUUAGGCCAAGGGCAGAAGGAAUUCUUGGCUGAGGUCAAAAGUAUAGGAAGCAUCCAUCAUGUCAGCCUGGCGAGGCUAAUUGGAUUCUGUGCUGAUAAAUUGCACACGCUUUUAGUCUAUGAGUUCAUGUGCUGUGGGUCUUUGGAUAAGUGGAUUUUCUGCAGGGAACCACUACUACAUCCUCUGGACUUCCAAACUAGAAGAAACAUUAUCAUGGAUGUAGCAAAGGGGCUGGCCUAUCUCCAUGAAGAAUGCAGACAAAGAAUAGUCCACUUAGACAUCAAACCACAAAACAUUUUGUUGGAUGAAAAUCUGCAUGCUAAGAUCUCUGAUUUUGGCUUGUCUAAGUUGAUUGACAGGGAUCAAAGUCAAGUGGUGACCACAAUGAGAGGAACUCCUGGGUACUUGGCUCCUGAAUUAUUCAGCUCAGUCAUCACAGAGAAGGCAGAUGUUUAUAGUUUUGGAAUCGUAGUCAUGGAAGUUGUCUGCGGAAAGAAAAAUCUGGAUAGGUCACAGCCUGAGUGCAUGCAUUUGCUCCCUAUUCUUAUGAAGAGGGCACAGGAGGAUCAAUUGAUUGAUAUGGUUGACAAUAGCUGUGAGGAUAUGCAAUUGCACAGGUUAGAAGCUGCGGAGAUGAUGAGGGUUGCUAUUUGGUGUCUGCAAAGUGAUCACACCAGGAGGCCUAGCAUGUCAACCGUGGUUAAGGUCUUAGAGGGCACCAUGGGUGUUGAAGCAGACCUAGACUAUUGCCUUCAGAAUGCAACAACAAUGGCAGCAAUAAGAAGAGAGGCAGUGCUGGGCAGUACUACCACAUUUCUGCCAUCACUACUAUCAGGACCAAGGUGAAGAAAGAUCUUUUGCGAAAUAUAUGUGGUGUUUAUGUUUCUCUGAUAGGUGUUUUACCUUCAGUUCUCUUUAUAUCGCUAGUGUAAUGUUAUCUGGGAAAUUGUUCAAUUAGCAUAAAGUGUGAUUCUUUAAAGCCAAGACAUGCAAUCAGUUUUCAGUUGAGUUUUUGAGGUAAAGAAUUACUUUUAUAGCCAACAAAGAGCCAAAUAUACAUGAUUCCGGUGAACAUAUUACUAUCAAUGUCAUAACCUAAUUUUUGACCCUUUUAUUUUAAUUUUAUUUACUGAAAAUGAUAAAAAGAAAAAUGAUGAAAAAAAUAAUAAUAAUGAUGAUGAAAAAAAAUAAUACAAAUGAAAUAAACGAAGAACGAAUUAAAAUUUGGGUUAAGGGCAACAUGAUUGGAAGUUUAAAGAUAUAAUUAAAUUUUUUGACUUGUUUAAUUAAUCAAAUCAACGGUUUAAUUGAAGAAUUGAUAAAUUUUAAAACUUAAUUAAGAUUGAAAUUAAUUUAAUUAAUCAAAUUAAGGGUUUAAUUGAAGAAUUGAUCAGUUUUGAGACUUAAUUAAGCUUGAAAUUGAUUUAAUUCAUCCAAUCAAGAGUUUAAUUGGAGAAUUGAUGAGUUUUGAGACUUAAUUAAGCCUAGAAUUAAUUUAAUUAAUCCAAUCAGGGGCUUAAUUGAAGAAUUGGUAAGUUUUAGACUUAAUUGGACUUUGGAUUUAAUUAAAUUAAUGAAAUCAGGGACUUAAUUGAAGAAAUAACAAAGUUUGGGGUUAAUUGGGGGCACAAUUACAACAGAUUAAAGUCCAAGGACUAACUUGUAAAAGGAGCCGAAAUGCAGGGAAAAUUACAGUUUAAACCAGGGGCUUAAUUAUAGCAGUUUCGAUACUUCACGGGUCAAAACAAAAAUGGCCACCUCAUAUUCCAAAACGGCGUCGUUUGAAAAAGCGUUGUUCAUCUUCUUCGCAGGAGCCGUUGCUGGAGUAAAGGGUGGAAGCCGUUUCAAAUGCUUGGCAUUCUCUGGCUAUAAAGCCAGAGAAGAUGAGAGAGCGCAGGGAGAAAAAAAAAAGGGCAGAACUGAGGGGCUGAGGGGGAGAGAGAGAAAACAGAGCCACGAAUGGCAGAAAAUGAGGAAUCACAGAACUGGGGGAGACAAAUGGAGAGAAACCGAACAAGGGAAAAUUUUGGUCCAUCAACCAACAGCAGCUCGUGCUUUCACCACCAUUGUCUCCGUCUUGAAUGGAGAAGAUCGGACAAAGAACUAGAAAAGGGAACAAAGCGGAGGAGAGGAAGUAACACUGGGAACACCACAAGACGCGAGAACAGAGAUAAUACAGAGAAGACAAGCAAAAACAGAGGAGGCCAUGAACGAGCAGAAAACAGAGGAACACAGAAAAAAGCAGAAAAGGCGGUGGGCACGGUAGCAAAGGAAAGCAGAAGGCAAGGUCAGACGCAAACGGGAGGCACCACCGCGAUGCAACCAUCUUCGUCGUCUCCAAAAGCAAGUACACCCAUUCUAGUUUUAUUCUCUGUGUUCAAUAAAACAUUGAACACAGUGUGAAGGUAAUUUAAUUACCUUCACACUGUGUGCAUCAUGCCCAGCAGGGUCACUGGCUCGAGCCAGUGACCGGGCUGGGCUGGCUGGAUCUAGCCCAUCCCAUGUGGGUUGAGCUGGGCCCAGCCCAAAAAAAUAAAGAAUAAAAAAAUAAAAAAACAGAAAAAUAAAAAAAGUAGAAAAAAUAAAAAAUGUGCAUGCAUGAAUAAAAAUAAUAUAAAUUUAUUGGUUUAUUCACUAACGCUAGAGUUAGGAAUAAAAAUACCGGUUUAAAUUUAUAUUAUUUUUAUUCCUUGUAUUUUAUUUUAUUUAGCUAGAAAAAAAAAAUAUGUGCAUGCGUAAAAAUAAAUUUAUUUUUGUUUAUUUAUUCACUGGCGCUAGAGUAGGGAAUAAAAAAUAUUGAUCUAAUUUUUUUUCUUAGCUACGAAUUUUUACCAGCGCUAGAGUUGGAAUUAUUCGAGCUCGAAUAUUCACUGGCGCCAGAGUCAGGAAUAUUAUAAACAAAUUAUAAUAGCAUAAGCGAAUAAAUGUUUAGCAAUUGAAGACAGAACCAACAAUGCAGUUUGCCUUAGGCAGAACGUUUAAGGGGUGAUAAUAUCUUUCCUUUUACGUAACUAGUUUCGAAUCAUAGAAUCUUUGUUGACCAGUUAGGAUUUCUAGUGACCAUAAUACUAGGUGUCGACUCCUCAAAUAAGAUAUUUUUCUUAAAAGAACAAGAUACCAAAUAUCUGUUCUUUUUUCUUAAAUCAAGAUAAUUUUUAGAACCACUGCGAUGUUGGGUGUGACAAUCAACAUUGUGCUUAUUCUUUUCAGAACAAUAACAAAGCUUUAGUGAAGAGUGAAGAAGUGUUUCCUGCACAAUAAUAGUGAAUGAAAACUAGACCAAAGUGAGUUCAUGUUAGAUACUAUUGUAUGAGUGCUUAAGUAGUUAAGGAUGAGAUAUCUCUCAAGCUGUCAAAAAAAAAAACUUUUACUUGAGAAGAUCGAUAAUCUUAUUUUUUAAACCAUGUAUGAAAAAAAAGGUGAGUGAAGGCCUUAUGAUGUCGAGUGAAGGCCUUAUGAUGUCGAGUGAAGAGUCCAUUUUCAUGAAGUUAAAUUGAUAAUUAGAGUAUUAUACUAGAGAGAAACGUGAACACUAUUUAUAAGUGGCGUGCAUGUCAUCUAAUUGAGUGAUUAUGUGAAUAAAAGUGUUUACAUAGUCAAUGAUGAAUUAUUGGCUAGAACGAGCAUGGAAACAAGUGUCAAUUGACUUUUAUGGAUAUUUCCCUAUCAUAAAUUAAAAAGCUAGAUAAACUAUUGAAUGAGAUGACUGUUCUCUUACGAAAAUUCUAAAGGAAAAGCAUCGUCGAAUAUGAGUCAAUUUUCCACGCCUGUCAUUCUCGUUCUCGGCUGUUGGGUCUAUAAUGGCUGCAUGCCGUAUUGCUUGACGAGGACUAUUUAAGUAUUAUUCUCGACCUUUUAUUUAUUUAUUUUGGAUUUUUUCUGCUGGUGGGUCUAUAAUAUUUUUUUUUAUAACCGAAGUCUGUAAACAGAAACAUUUUAUUUAUUUUCCGCGUCAAGAAAGUCAAGUAACUCAGUCACCCACUUUUUUUAAACUCCCACUGCACUAGAUCUCGCUCCUUCUGCUGUGAAUCCAAUUCCAAAUAUUUAUGGAGAAAAAAAAUAUUAAUCUUUAUUUACAACGUUGGUUAAUUACAAUUAGUACAAUGAUAUCAAUUUCUUCUCUUAUACUAAAAUAAUGAUACCAAUUCUAGAUAUUAUAUAUGAAUUAUGUUAUGUUAUGUAUGAAAAAUACUAAAAAAGAGAUAGGUUAAUUUGGUCAUCCCAUAAAACUAUAUAUGGAAUGAGAUUAAAACUUAAGGAAUGGGAAUAGCACUGCACAAAAUAUUAAUGAUAUUUAUUAUUUAUAGUAUAUGGUCAAUGAAGUGUCAUGAUUCAUCGAGUGAUUUCCAAUGAAAUUUGGAGCACAUACCAGCUUAAUUCUAAGUUUGCUAGAAGAGUUAUUUGAUUUUCGAACAAAUUCAUAAGCACUUAGGCACAAUCUACUCUUUUUUUCUUAUUAAAAAAAUUGUAUAAAGAACAACUAAAUAUUUAUUAAAAUUAAGAAAUCAACACAUUAAAUAAAAUUGUAUUGUUCUCUACAACAAAUUGUGGAGACCCCAAAAGAAAAGUGAGAGCGAGAUGUGCUUCCGGGGCAUGUUAAAAUUAAGAAAUUAACACGUUAAAAAAACUUUCAAUAUGCCUUGUAUGUUUGAUAUGUAAAUUGACAUAUUUAAUAUCAAUUCAAUCUUGAGUAUGAACCUAUUCUCCAAUGUCACUUUCAUUUGCUCCAAAUGGGAAGAUACUGCUUGGAUUUUUAUUUUUUUGUCUCACGUAAAAUUACUUGAAGUUAAAAGAAAAGUCAUGAUGGGUAUUGCGAGGAGAUCAUACAACAAGAAUCGUAAGCUCUUGAGGGUAAACAUGUCCGCUAUCCAUGGCUGGUAAUAAGGACGGGGAAAUUAAAGAAUUUUCAUUGAUGGGGCAAAUAGCAUCACGUUUUGUGUUCAAAAACAGGGAAGCUUCUAUGGCUGCUGCUGCACUGCGUUCAUUUGGUGUUGUAUAGCAACAGCAUUUAUUUAUCUGUAUUCCAUUCCAGAGUAAUACCAAACAAAAAUAGCAGAGCUCAUGGCUAUGUGGCCUUUGAGUGAUAUCCUGCUAGUGCAGCUUUUGAUCAUGUUAUCUCCUGCAUGCUUCCUAGAAGCUCAAACUUCUUACUCCACAGCCCAAAAUUAUUACCCAUCAUGGACAAACAAUUUGUCCAUUCCAGCGAGAGGCUUUGAUUCCUACCAAAUGAUCUUGUUGAGUGAGUAUUGGUCUUUUGCUUGUGGAUUUUACUCCAAAGACCAGGAAAAUGAUUCCUUUUAUUUUGCAGUUGUAUCACUCAACCAAACAUAUGCAGGAGCUAUUGUUAAUUUCACUCUUCAGCAUGUCAUAUGGUUGGCAAAUGAAAAUAAGCCUGUUGGACGGAACGCAACUCUAAAGUUACUUCCAGAAGGAAAUUUGGUUCUGAGAGAUGCAGAUGGAGCUUUAGUCUGGUCUACCAACACGUCUAACAUGUCUGUUGCAGGUAUAAAGAUGAUGGAAACAGGGAUGCUUGUGCUUCAAGACCACAAUAAUAAGACUGUGUGGCAAUCUUUCAGUAAUACAGCACAUGUGUCCACUUCAUGGACGAAUAAUGAUCCCAUAUCAGCCAUGCCUUUUAAUCUAUUUAAAAUAAUCAUGAUGCACGGAGCUGGUUUUUAUUGUGGAUUUCUCUCCAAGGACCGGAAUUCCUUCUAUUUUGCUAUAUGGAAGAAGAAGUCGGAAUAUUCUGGAGAUGAUGAUCCGGAGGCCUUAUGGUUAGCAAACAGAAACAGGCCUGUUGGUGAGAACGCAACUUUACAAUUUUUACCAGAUGGAGAUUUGGUUCUGAGAGAUGCUGAUGGAGCUUUCGUUUGGUCUACUAACACAUCUAACAUGUCUGUUGCGGGUAUGAGGAUGAUGGAAACUGGAAACCUUGAGCUUCAAGACCACAAUAAUAAGAUUGUGUGGCAAUCUUUUAGUAAUACAGCACAUGUGUCCGCUUUAUGGACGAAUAAUGAUCCCAUAUCAGCCAUGCCUUAUAAUCUAUAUAAAAUAUUCAUGAUGCACGGAGCUCCUUUUUCUUGUGGAUUUCACUCCAAGGACCGGAAUUCCUUCUAUUUUGCAAUAUGGAAGCAAUCGGAAGUUUCUGGAGAUGAUGUUCCGGAGGCCUUGUGGUUAGCAAACAGAAACAGGCCUGUUGGUGAGAACGCAACUUUACAUUUUUUACCAGAUGGAGAUUUGGUCUUGAGAGAUGCUGAUGGAACUUUCGUUUGGUCUACUAACACAUCUAGCAUGUCUGUUGCGGGUAUGAGGAUGAUGGAAACUGGAAACCUUGAGCUUUAUGAUGUCAAUAACAAGACUGUUUGGAAUUCAUUUGAUCAUCCUUCUGAUGUACUGCUUCUUGGGA
rnacentral:lncRNA from 1 species